UCUUAAAAGCCUAAGUAGUGUUUC
rnacentral:siRNA from 1 species